rnacentral:lncRNA from 1 species
AUUAAAGGUUGGUCUUACAUAAUGUAAAAUUAAAUAUUGCGGCCUGUAAAUUUUGGGGGUACUACAGGCCAACAAAUAAUCAACAUUUUCGACUUUCGGUAGUUUAGAUCAAAUAAGAACGUUCAUCGUUUACUGCAAACUCUACUUUCAAAGACCGAAAUUUUACUUAUUAUUUUGACCUAGAACAGUGAUAACAUUCGUUUGACCUUUGCUGUUGUCUAAAGUCUUACUGACACUGACACAGGCAUUUUCGUUAAGUAUGGGCCGUAUUGUAUAAAUAAUAAAAAUUUUCUAGCUGAAUAUAAACAAAUUAUAAAUUUGCAACAGGUAAAGAUGUCCGUUAGUUAACAAAUUAUCGAACAUCGAUUUACUUUGAAGAUUAUUUAAAAAGUCAAGAGAAAACGUACCCCAAUAUAAUUUAUACUAGUAUAACAAACUGCCGUAGGUGUAUUCGCGUCGCGAACUUGCGAAAAAGUUAGAGCUUAACUUUGAUUACCUUAUGUUUGACAUGGAGGCCUGGUUACCAAUCGCGUCUCAACGUCAGUGUUACAUGACCGUAAUUCGUAAUCAAAAUGACGCCAUGGUGCUAGCCAGUGCGCUGAGAGGCAUUCACCCCCUGAUAAUAUUCAAAAUGGUGGACCUCCAUAAGCGCACUGGGUAGGACCAUGGCGUCAGCAUUUUGAUGAUGAAUCAUGUGGCAGCUGCAAUGCAUUGCAGGUAAUCCACAACCAAAUUUGUUAAUUGUCUUGAAUAUAGUACUAAUAUAGUGAUGGGUUGUAGGAGGUAUUUGAGUAGUUCAAAUGAAAUAACUUGCAAUACUCUACCAAUAAAAAGUUAUACACCGUAAACCUCCGACUAUUAGCCCCCCUCCCCCCUGAAUAUAAGCCCCGCCCCCGAAUAUAAGACCACCAAAUAUAAGUCCCCCGAAUAUAAGCCCAGUAGCCCACUACGUUAUUCAACACUGACAUUGUCUUUUAAAGGGGCCCUACAGUCAUUUUUUAGUCGAAAAGCCACCUUAAGUAUUGUUUACAUUUUUGUUAUUGUCGCUACUGAACAUGCCCACCACGGCAUGCAUGCGCCUUCCGGUGUGCGGAAGUACUCAUACUCAUGGAUACUGCAUGUAAGAUACAGCCAAACUAAUCUCCGUAGAGUCCCCUACUUAAGGUGGCUUUAAUUUCGACUAAAAAAUGACUGUAGGGCAGAGAACGAUAUUUAAAAACAUUGUCAUUGUCUUUAUAGCCAACUAUGUUAAUCAAAGCACGUUAUUAAUACAUGUUUAUUUUCCUGUUUCUGACUGACUUGUGUUUGUCUGACUUGUUUAAUACUAACCCAAAAGAUCGUACAUGUAUUAGACCCCCCCCCGUAUAUAAGCCUCCCCCCUUGUAUAAGCCCAUCAAAAAUCGCUUACGAAAGUAUAUAAGCCCAGGGCUUAUAGUCAGAGGUUUAUGGUAUUUGGCUAGGUGAUAUUUGGUAGCUGAUGGGUUAUUACCCAUUCUAAUAAGAAGUAGGUUUAACUACUGACAUGUAAUUUUAAUAGAUUGUUUGGCCAAGUAAAACAGUGAAUGCAAUGUUUUAAAGUUAAUAUCUCAUUUAUUUCAAAUGUCAAUUGUCAAACACUCAAACCGUGUGGACAAACCAAAUAUUGCAAACAAACCAAAUACCGUAAACCUCCGAUUAUAAGCCCUGGGCUUAUAUAAGUUCGUAAGCGUUUGUUGAUGGGCUUAUACAUGGGGGGGAGGGGGUUAUAUACAGGUGCUCAUAUCAACAUAUUUAUAUUAUCGAGAAAAGGACGUCUGAUGCCUGAUAGAUCAUUGCUUCUCACACUAUAACUAUUAAAAUGUGCACCAAU